CACUCUUCUCACGCUUUUCUUUGUCAAAUCUUAAUCUAAAUCCACAAACCUAUACAUACAAAAAAGGAUAUACACAUCUUUUCCACUUUUAACUGUUUUUCACUUGGAUUUCAUUGAUCUAGCGCUUCAACAGCACACUGGAGUGUGCUUGUAAGACUAUUUGAGGAUCGGAUUCUGGAUUGGUUCUCGAUUUUCCAUCCUCUCUUGGCUCGAGAUCCGAGCC
rnacentral:lncRNA from 1 species